rnacentral:lncRNA from 1 species
CCAAAUCAUCUGUACAUCGAGAAAAAUAAAUCGAGUGCACAAGCGAUUCCAGCAAGUGGUCCUUUUCACUUGUGGCACCAUACUCCAAUCACUCCAAGUGAUAUCAAAUUCCUCUUUUACUAAAUAUCCAAUUGCGACCCUAAAUUUGGGUAGCGCCUCUAGAGGUGGUAAGGGCUCUUCGCUCGGACUUAACUCUAUAAUCUGAUAAACUUCUUCUGGAAAUCUAUUCCUUCCUCUGUCUCCUUGUGCCCGAUCACUCUUUUUUGUUUUACUUCUUGGCUCAGAGGAUGUCCCAGUCGUUUGAGGCGCCGUGUCCUUCUGAACAUCUUGUUCUUCUGCCUCCAUUUAGGCAACAACUUGAGAUAACACCUCCUGUCCAUUCAAUUGUUAGGUACAUAAAUAUAUACACAUGUAUUCUAUUGUAUAGACACUACUACAAUAUAUACCUCAUCAUCAUUCGGAUCAGCUUGAGGCUCGUAUGUCGGGUCAUGUUCCAACUCUAGACGAGCCUUCUUAGCUCUAGGGGAUUCACGUGGUGAUACGCUCGGGCUUCUAUAAGUGUCUGAUCCAGAGGUGUCGGAUCCCCGUGUUUCUAUCUGGGCUUCAGCAUUCGAUGGAGUACUCAUCUAAUUAAACAAAUAAUUUAUAAACAAUUAACUUACGAACUCAAAUUAACAAACCCUAAUUGAAAACCCUACUUAACAAAUAAUUAAUUAAUCAAUAAUUAAAAAUUAACAAUAAAUAACCCUAAUUAAGAAACCCUAAUUAAAACUAAUUAAGAAUUAUUAAAUAAAUAAAUAAUUAACAAUUAAUUAACUAGCUAACCCUAAUUAAGAAACCAUAAUUAAAAACUAAUUAAUAAAUAACUGAACCCUAAUUAAAAACUAAUUAAUAAAACCCUAAUACCUAAUUAAAAACUAAUUAACAAUUAUUAAAUAAAUAAAUAAUUAACAAUUAAUUAACUAGCUAACCCUAAUUAAGAAACCCUAAUUAAAAACUAAUUAAUAAAACCCUAAACCCUAAUUAAAAACUAAUUAAUAAAUAACUUAACAAAUAAUUAAUUAAUCAAUAAAUAAUAAAUAAAUAAUUUAUAAAUAAUUAACAAAAAAAUAAAAAAAAACAGCCUGGGCGGCCUGCAAGGCCCAACAGGGCCCAGCAAGC